rnacentral:rRNA from 1 species
GAUGAACGCUGGCGGCGUGCCUAAUACAUGCAAGUCGAACGCGAGCACUUGUGCUCGAGUGGCGAACGGGUGAGUAAUACAUAAGUAACCUGCCCUAGACAGGGGGAUAACUAUUGGAAACGAUAGCUAAGACCGCAUAGGUACGGACACUGCAUGGUGACCGUAUUAAAAGUGCCUCAAAGCACUGGUAGAGGAUGGACUUAUGGCGCAUUAGCUGGUUGGCGGGGUAACGGCCCACCAAGGCGACGAUGCGUAGCCGACCUGAGAGGGUGACCGGCCACACUGGGACUGAGACACGGCCCAGACUCCUACGGGAGGCAGCAGUAGGGAAUUUUCGGCAAUGGGGGAAACCCUGACCGAGCAACGCCGCGUGAAGGAAGAAGGUUUUCGGAUUGUAAACUUCUGUUAUAAAGGAAGAACGGCGGCUACAGGAAAUGGUAGCCGAGUGACGGUACUUUAUUAGAAAGCCACGGCUAACUACGUGCCAGCAGCCGCGGUAAUACGUAGGUGGCAAGCGUUAUCCGGAAUUAUUGGGCGUAAAGAGGGAGCAGGCGGCAGCAAGGGUCUGUGGUGAAAGCCUGAAGCUUAACUUCAGUAAGCCAUAGAAACCAGGCAGCUAGAGUGCAGGAGAGGAUCGUGGAAUUCCAUGUGUAGCGGUGAAAUGCGUAGAUAUAUGGAGGAACACCAGUGGCGAAGGCGACGAUCUGGCCUGCAACUGACGCUCAGUCCCGAAAGCGUGGGGAGCAAAUAGGAUUAGAUACCCUAGUAGU